rnacentral:rRNA from 1 species
AGGGAAUCUUCCACAAUGGACGAAAGUCUGAUGGAGCAACGCCGCGUGAGCGAAGAAGGUUUUCGGAUCGUAAAGCUCUGUUGUGAGGGAAGAACAAGUACGGGAGUAACUGCCCGUACCUUGACGGUACCUCAUUAGAAAGCCAC